AGAGAACAAAUUUCUGCUGUUUUCAAACUACCAGUUUGUGAUAAUUUGUUAAGGCAGCCACAGAAAAUUGAUACUGACCCCAACACAUGAAAAUUUGAACCCACUUUAUCCCCACUAAGCAGAACAGAGGAUUCUGCUCUUCUCAGAUUUGAGGGUUCAGCAUGCUUCCCCCAUUGGAACCACUUAAUCAUCUGUCCAUGGCACAAGGACUACAACAGCCUUGUGCAUCCCAUAUCCCCAGAGUGUGGUGAGUACUUAUUGAAUUGCAUUAUACACCUUUAUCACUAAUCACUUGGGGUUCAGGUAUCUAAUUCAUGGAUUCAGAUCUCAGCUCCUACACUCACUACAGCUUGGUAACCAUGGCCCACUAGUCUCUGACUAGUCUCCGCUGACUCCUCUGUUUCCAAGGGGAUAGUUAUGACCUCAUAGCAUUGUCAUGAGGCUUCAGUGAAGUUCAGGGAAAGUUCCUCAAGAAGUGGCCCACUGCUUAACAGAAGCUCAAAAUCUCUUUGCUCCAGCCAGGGGUUGUGACUUAAGCCUAUAAAUUUUGGGAGGCUGAGGUGGGCAGAUUACUGGAGGCCAGGAGUUCAAGACCAGCCUGGCCAACAUGGCGAAACCCCAUCUUUAUGAGAAAUACAAAAAUUAGCUGGGUGCAUUGGCACAUGCUUGUAAUUCCAGCUACUCGGGAGGCUGAGGCACGAGAGUCACUUGAACCUGGGAGGCGGAGGUUACGGUGAGCCGAGAUCAUGCCACUGUACUCCAGCCUGGAUGACAAAAAUAGACUCCAUCUCAAAAAAAAAAAACGACUUUGCUCUUUUCAUCAAUAAUUAUAAUAUAAUUAUAAAAGAAGGAAAUGGCUUUAUUAUUAGUAGAAGAAAAUACUUCUAAUUGAAUUAGAAUAGAAUUAUUCAUCUAUAAUAAUUAUAAAAAGAAGGAAAAUGAUUAUAUUAUUAAUAGUAGAAGAAAAUCUGGCAGAAAGAACAAAAAAGAUGCAGCUUAGCGGAACCACUGUGUUUGAAAUCAGGAG
rnacentral:lncRNA from 1 species